rnacentral:rRNA from 1 species
UACAGGGGGGGGGCAAGCGUUGUUCGGAAUUACUGGGCGUAAAGGGCUCGUAGGCGGCCAACUAAGUCAGACGUGAAAUCCCUCGGCUUAACCGGGGAACUGCGUCUGAUACUGGAUGGCUUGAGGUUGGGAGAGGGAUGCGGAAUUCCAGGUGUAGCGGUGAAAUGCGUAGAUAUCUGGAGGAACACCGGUGGCGAAGGCGGCAUCCUGGACCAAUUCUGACGCUGAGGAGCGAAAGCCAGGGGAGCAAACGGG